CUCAGGUUUAAAUCAAAUCCACAAGAACAACAGCUGCAUGAGCAGAUAAAAUUCAUAACUACAAUGCACAGAAGCCAUCAAGUUUUUAAGUAAAUGGCCAAACAAUAAAACAUGAGCAACCAAUUGAUGACAGAACACAAUGGAAAUUGACAGCUCAUUAGACCACGGAGCAUUCUUUGUCACAUUCUGGACGAGUAUAUUUAACUUUACAACUGAUGUAUGUUAAAUUAGUUUCUAGGAAAUGGAACAUGUCAUUAUGGAAGAUAAUUCAAGAUUGCUAGUGCAUACAGGAAUCUUGUAAUAUUGGUGGAGGCAAGGAUAAUUUGGAUACUCCCACAAUAUUUCAUUUACAUAAUUUGAGUUACAAUUUCAUUAGAAACGAAUAAACUUUAGCUCAGGCCGAAGACUGUCCAUUCUUCUCCCAUUUGGUGACAUGCUCUCCUCGUUUGCGUAUGGUCACGUUCAUAGCAAUCUCCAUUUCUUGAUCACCAGUUAUUCGGCAUCGUGUUUCGGACAUGCAAGACAGAUCUGGAGUGCUGGCGACUAAACUUGAUUCAGCACCCGUUUCCUUCGUUUUCACCCACUCCCAAUAACCACAUUUCACGCUGCACGUUUCGAACAGUUUGCCCUUGUUUUCAGUGUUCUUCUCCACCUCGAAGCACUUCAAAAACGCAUGUUUACACCAUGGGCAAGGUCGUUUAUUCGGGCAUUCCGCAAAAAAAUUUCCCUUCAAUCUACAACUAUGGCAUACUCCAUAAUUCUUCCCUCUCAUUUUAACCUGGGGAUCAAACACCAAACAAAAUGAUAAUCUCAGACUCCCUAAGUCAGCACAUGAAAUGAAUUCACAGAAGCAAAUAAGUUGGAAGCAACAUUCACUGGAAAGUAACCAAAUGACUCCCUCAGUCAACACUAAUCUCUCUCUGUCUGCAGGAAACAUGAACAUUCACUGGAAAGUAACCAAAUGACUCGUGAACAUUCCAGUUUAAGUUGGAAGCUAAAUAUGCAUAUUACAGGAGUAAAUGAGCCUUUCACUCCCUCCUCCUCAGGCAAAAAUGUCCCGUUCUUAUCUAGUGAAGGACACGUUAAAAGAGAAACAAUUUUGUCUAUGGGGGGACUACUGCAAGGUUUCAUUUUUCGUACUCCAAACAUAAUCUCCAUUGUACAGGUAAAAUUUGGGAAAUCAUAUAACAAAUUAUUUUGGAUAAAAUCACAUAUCUGCAGAUUUGAAAUUCAUAUCACUACAAGGUAUUUCAACCCAUUUAUUGAAACGUGAACUUCAUACUUAUAUACCUAAGCUGUCUGUAGAUGUGGUGAAAGACGAUAAGCGGUAGCAAUUACGAAUCAACGAGAAGUGCCUGACCGUCUCAGAACUGAAACACUGAGUAUUUCGACGGUGUUUCACCUAAGCUCUCUGCUAAUCGGUACCAAUUGAACAGCAACUUAGUAAUAUUAGGGCAAAAUGAUGAGCGUGCCGUCGACGGUAUAUUUAGAGUCACCGAGUAGAAGCUUUUCGGGGGAGAUUUUAGAGCCAAAUGAGCGGCUAAUACCAGAUUUUGUUUG
rnacentral:lncRNA from 1 species